rnacentral:rRNA from 1 species
AAUAGAUACCCUGGUAGUCCACGCCGUAAACGAUGAGUGCUAAGUGUUAGAGGGUUUCCGCCCUUUAGUGCUAAAGUUAACGCAUUAAGCACUCCGCCUGGGGAGUACGGCCGCAAGGCUGAAACUCAAAGGAAUUGACGGGGGCCCGCACAAGCGGUGGAGCAUGUGGUUUAACUCGAAGCAACGCGAAGAACCUUACCAGGUCUUGGCAUCCUCUGACAACCCUAGAGAUAGGGCUUCUCCUUCGGGAGCAGAGUGACAGGUGGUGCAUGGUUGUCGUCAACUCGUGUCGUGAGAUGUUGGGUUAAGUCCCGCAACGAGCGCAACCCUUGAUCUUAGUUGCCAUCAUUAAGUUGGGCACUCUAAGGUGACUGCCGGUGACAAACCGGAGGAAGGUGGGGAUGACGUCAAAUCAUCAUGCCCCUUAUGACCUGGGCUACACACGUGCUACAAUGGACGGUACAAAGAGCUGCAAGACCGCGAGGUGGAGCUAAUCUCAUAAAACCGUUCUCAGUUCGGAUUGUAGGCUGCAACUCG